AGUGGCGAACGGGUGAGUAACACGUGGGCAACCUGCCCAAAGAGGGGGAUAACACUUGGAAACAGGUGCUAAUACCGCAUAACCAUAGUUACCGCAUGGUAACUAUGUAAAAGGUGGCUAUGCUACCGCUUUUGGAUGGGCCCGCGGCGCAUUAGCUAGUUGGUGGGGGUAAAGGCUUACCAAGGCAAUGAUGCGUAGCCGAACUGAGAGGUUGAUCGGCCACAUUGGGACUGAGACACGGCCCAAACUCCUACGGGAGGCAGCAG
rnacentral:rRNA from 1 species